CACUCCUGCGGGAGGCAGCAGUGAGGAAUAUUGGACAAUGGGUGGAAGCCUGAUCCAGCCAUCCCGCGUGCAGGAAGACGGCCCUAUGGGUUGUAAACUGCUUUUAUCUGGGGAUAAACCUACUUACGUGUAAGUAGCUGAAGGUACCAGAAGAAUAAGCACCGGCUAACUCCGUGCCAGCAGCCGCGGUAAUACGGAGGGUGCAAGCGUUAUCCGGAUUUAUUGGGUUUAAAGGGUCCGUAGGCGGACUGAUAAGUCAGUGGUGAAAUCCGACAGCUUAACUGUCGAACUGCCAUUGAUACUGUUAGUCUUGAGUAAGGUUGAAGUGGCUGGAAUAAGUAGUGUAGCGGUGAAAUGCAUAGAUAUUACUUAGAACACCAAUUGCGAAGGCAGGUCACUAAGUCUUAACUGACGCUGAUGGACGAAAGCGUGGGGAGCGAACAGGAUUAGAAACCCCAGUAGUCCCAUGA
rnacentral:rRNA from 1 species